GGGUAGUUUGACUGGGGCGGUCUCCUCCUAAAGAGUAACGGAGGAGCACGAAGGUUGGCUAAUCCUGGUCGGACAUCAGGAGGUUAGUGCAAUGGCAUAAGCCAGCUUGACUGCGAGCGUGACGGCGCGAGCAGGUGCGAAAGCAGGUCAUAGUGAUCCGGUGGUUCUGAAUGGAAGGGCCAUCGCUCAACGGAUAAAAGGUACUCCGGGGAUAACAGGCUGAUACCGCCCAAGAGUUCAUAUCGACGGCGGUGUUUGGCACCUCGAUGUCGGCUCAUCACAUCCUGGGGCUGAAGUAGGUCCCAAGGGUAUGGCUGUUCGCCAUUUAAAGUGGUACGCGAGCUGGGUUUAGAACGUCGUGAGACAGUUCGGUCCCUAUCUGCCGUGGGCGCUGGAGAACUGAGGGGGGCUGCUCCUAGUACGAGAGGACCGGAGUGGACGCAUCACUGGUGUUCGGGUU
rnacentral:rRNA from 1 species